CCUACGGGAGGCUGCAGUGAGGAAUAUUGGUCAAUGGCCGAGAGGCUGAACCAGCCAAGUCGCGUGAGGGAAGACGGCCCUACGGGUUGUAAACCUCUUUUGUCGGGGAGCAACACGAACCACGUGUGGUUCAUUGAGAGUACCCGAAGAAAAAGCAUCGGCUAACUGCGUGCCAGCCGCCGACGUAAUACGGCGGAUGCGAGCGUUUUCCGGAUUUAUUGGGUUUAAAGGGUGCGCAGGCGGAGGUGCAAGUCAGCGGUCAAAUUGCGGGGCUCAACCCCGUACUGCCGUUGAAACUGCAUCCCUGGAGUGCGCGAUAAGUAUGCGGAAUGCGUGGUGUAGCGGUGAAAUGCAGAGAUAUCACGCAGAACUCCGAUUGCGAAGGCAGCAUACCGGCGCGCAACUGACGCUCAUGCACGAAAGCGUGGGUAUCGAACAGGAUUAGAUACCCUGGUAGUC
rnacentral:rRNA from 1 species